rnacentral:rRNA from 1 species
UGAGGAAUAUUGGUCAAUGGACGCAAGUCUGAACCAGCCAAGUAGCGUGCAGGAUGACGGCCCUAUGGGUUGUAAACUGCUUUUAUAUGGGGAUAAAGUGGGGAACGUGUUCCCUUUUGCAGGUACCAUAUGAAUAAGGACCGGCUAAUUCCGUGCCAGCAGCCGCGGUAAUACGUAGGUGGCAAGCGUUGUCCGGAAUUAUUGGGCGUAAAGCGCGCGCAGGCGGUCUCUUAAGUCCAUCUUAGAAGUGCGGGGCUUAACCCCGUGAGGGGAUGGAAACUGGGAGACUGGAGUAUCGGAGAGGAAAGUGGAAUUCCUAGUGUAGCGGUGAAAUGCGUAGAUAUUAGGAAGAACACCGGUGGCGAAGGCGACUUUCUGGACGAAAACUGACGCUGAGGCGCGAAAGCGUGGGGAGCAAACAGG